rnacentral:rRNA from 1 species
AUUGAACGCUGGCGGCAGGCCUAACACAUGCGAGUCGAGCGGAUGAGUGGAGCUUGCUCCAUGAUUCAGCGGCGGACGGGUGAGUAAUGCCUAGGAAUCUGCCUGGUAGUGGGGGGCAACGUUUCGAAAGGAACGCUAAUACCGCAUACGUCCUACGGGAGAAAGCAGGGGACCUUCGGGCCUUGCGCUAGCAGAUGAGCCUAGGUCGGAUUAGCUAGUAGGUGAGGUAAUGGCUCACCUAGGCGACGAUCCGUAACUGGUCUGAGAGGAUGAUCAGUCACACUGGAACUGAGACACGGUCCAGACUCCUACGGGAGGCAGCAGUGGGGAAUAUUGGACAAUGGGCGAAAGCCUGAUCCAGCCAUGCCGCGUGUGUGAAGAAGGUCUUCGGAUUGUAAAGCACUUUAAGUUGGGAGGAAGGGCAGUAAGUUAAUACCUUGCUGUUUUGACGUUACCAACAGAAUAAGCACCGGCUAACUUCGUGCCAGCAGCCGCAGUAACAC